rnacentral:rRNA from 1 species
CCCUUAGAUGUUCUGGGCCGCACGCGCGCUACACUGAUGCAUUCAACGAAUUUCUUCCUGGUCCGAGAGGAAUGGGUAGCCUUUUGAAAGUGCAUCGUGAUAGGGAUAGACUAUUGCAAUUAUUGGUCUUCAACGAGGAAUUCCUAGUAGACGUAGUUCAUCAGACUGCACCGAUUACGUCCCUGCCCUUUGUACACACCGCCCGUCGCUCCUACCGAUUGAAUGCUCAGGUGAGCCAUUCGGACUUUCAUCAUGCUGGUUUCCAGUUUUGAUGAAGGAAAGUCUUGCGAACCUUAUCAUUUAGAGGAAGGAGAAGUCGUAACA